rnacentral:rRNA from 1 species
GAUGAACGCUAGCGAUAGGCUUAACACAUGCAAGUCGAGGGGCAGCAUGGUCUUAGCUUGCUAAGACUGAUGGCGACCGGCGCACGGGUGCGUAACGCGUAUGCAACUUGCCUCACAGAGGGGGAUAACCCGUCGAAAGACGGACUAAUACCGCGUACACUUGGGAUAGGGCAUCCUGACCCAAGGAAAUGAAAUUCGCUGUGAGAUAGGCAUGCGUCCCAUUAGCUAGUUGGUGAGGUAACGGCUCACCAAGGCGACGAUGGGUAGGGGAACUGAGAGGUUGAACCCCCACACUGGUACUGAGAGACGGACCAGACUCCUACGGGAGGCAGCAGUGAGGAAUAUUGGUCAAGGGGCGAGAGCCUGAACCAGCCAAGUCGCGUGAAGGAUGACUGUCUUAUGGAUUGUAAACUUCUUUUAUACGGGAAUAACACGAGUCACGUGUGGCUCCCUGCAUGUACCGUAUGAAUAAGCAUCGGCUAACUCCGU